CCCCUCUCAGGGUCGCACCUGGAGAGUUUCCAGUCCUCUACCAGUCUCGACUACGAGAGGGAGAGUCAAGCGGAGGCCUGUCCAUUCCAUUUCUAGCUUGGCCAGUGGCUGGCGAGUGGAAGAUGAUCUGCUACAAGU
rnacentral:snoRNA from 1 species